rnacentral:rRNA from 1 species
AAUCAACGCUGGCGGCGUGCCUCAGACAUGCAAGUCGAACGAUUAAAGCUCUUUUCGGAGAGUGUAUAGAGUGGCGCACGGGUGAGUAACACGUAAGUAAUCUACCUUCGAGUGGGGAAUAACGUCCGGAAACGGACGCUAAUACCGCAUAAUGCAGCGGCAUCGCAAGAUGACAGUUGUUAAAGAUUUAUCGCUUGAAGAGGAGCUUGCGGCAGAUUAGCUAGUUGGUAAGGUAAUGGCUUACCAAGGCUACGAUCUGUAACCGGUCUAAGAGGACGGUCGGUCACACUGACACUGAAUAACGGGUCAGACUCCUACGGGAGGCAGCAGUCGGGAAUCUUGGGCAAUGGGCGAAAGCCUGACCCAGCAACGCCGCGUGAAGGAUGAAGUAUUUCGGUAUGUAAACUUCGAAAGAAUGGGAAGAAUCAAUGACGGUACCAUUUAUAAGGUCCGGCUAACUACGUGCCAGCCGCCG